rnacentral:lncRNA from 1 species
UCUCCAUCUGCGUCUGCUAGUCCGUGUUCGUCAUCUCCAGCGACCCUGUUCUUCAUCCUCAGGGACGCCUUCCAGCAGUGCUUCACCAAGUUCUUCACCCUCGUCAAGGGCUUCUGCAACCUUUACGCCAAGGUGAUUAUUUUCUCCCCUCUCUGUUUGCUUUCCUCCAGUUCACUCCAUCGGCCCUGGGAUCUGCGUUAGUACUUAAUUUGAGGUAUGUGUGGCUGGUUGCCUACUGAUGAACCUGUAUCUUCACGAACAGAAUGGAGAUUCUACUUGUGCUUCUAAUAUGGCGGUGAUUUCAUCUUAUGCUUUCCUUGAAAAUUACAGUUGACAUAAGUUCUAUGACUAGUGGAAAAUAAGUAUGCUGUUUGGAAAUUUCCUUUUUUUUUAAUAUAUUCUGCCGAGGAGACUUUCAGCAGUCAAAGAUUGAGGUGGCUGACUUGGAGAAAAAAGUGUACCAAUUAUCUAGCAAUUACCUCUGGUUCGCCACAAAGAGAUAUUUCAUGUUAGUUGAACCCUUAUUAUUGCAUCAGUUUUCGUAACUUUUAUGAUCCAUGUUAUAUAUAUACUCCCCUAGUCUAACAUUUGUUCUCUUACUGUAGAUUAGUCCAAUGGAGUACUAUUCUGUAGUUUUUGAUACAGCUCCUACAAUCAUACAUUAUUAUGGUUACUAAAGUUGCAGUAAUGCAGGAGAAGGGUCUAGAGAAAAUGACAGACUUAAAGAAUAGAUUCAGUCAUCUGUUGAAUCAGGUAUUCCUUAAUAUUGAGAAAUUUCAACCUAUUGGGAAACUAUGAUUGUUGUUUGUCCACACAUGUAUGCCCAUGGUUGUGUGCGGAGGAUAAAUUUUAUUUAGGGUUGGGCGAACACUAAAGCUGUCCGCUGCUCUUGCCGAUGUUCGCUUGCCUGCCGUCGCCGACCAUUGUCCGUUUAGCUGCCGUUGCUGCCACAAUGGACUAGUCAGCUAGCCGGUAGGGUCCAUCACUCUCACUCGCAUGGUGUCGCUACGUGCGCAUGAUGCCUCAUAGCUUGGUCGCUUCAGCUUAGGGAUUAGCAGUCUGUGGCGGUUACCAAACAAUGACUAGGCCAGCAUCAGGACCAUGCCCAUAUCUCACCAACGGUCAAGUGCUUACAUAUUACUCCCUCCGUCCCAUAAUGUAAGACGUUUUUUAACACUAGUCUAGUGUCAAAAGGCAUCUUAAAUUAUGGGACGGAGGGAGUAUAUAUCAAAUCACUCCACAUUGGUUGUAGUACAUUGUAUAACUUAAAAAUAAUUAGCAUGAGUGCGUUUGGUUCAUCAGAGUAUGAACUAAUUCUGUGGAAUAUGGAGGUAAAUCAAUUCUAAAUCCAAUCAAUUGUAACCUCUACUUGUGAGUACUGCAGGGCACAUCUUGUUUCCAUCCGAAGACUACAUAAUGACAAAUGGAUACACUCUUAUAAAAGCAAGUUGGCAACCUUUUUUCCUAUAAAGAUGUAAUAAAUUUGGCUGUAGCUUUUGAACUUAUUGAUGUUAUUUGUGUUUCUCUGCCAUCUUACCAAGAAAUGAGACAUGCUAUAUUGUAAGUGAACAUUCUGUUAUUUGGUGACAAACUAACAAAAUGCACGCACAUGUUUUCCAUUCAAUUUCACCACUACUUUUUUUGUAUAUGUUUUUAAUUCUACUAGUAAAUGUACAGUUUGUGCAUCUGUCAUGUUUUCUUGUCUAUUUGGUUGAGCAAAUAGUGCAUCUAAAAUUGGAAAAGGGUCUGUAAGCAUUCUGUAUGGCUGGAUAUUGAAGUUUCAAUUGUUUUCUCCUGUAGGGUUUCUUAUGUUUGCAAUUCAACAAACAACGUAGCUUUAAAUUUUAGUACGGUAAAGAGGUGUGAUAAUCAAGCUAUCUUCUUAGUUCUUUGUUAGUAUUAUUUGCGCAAUACUACACAAUGCACAUUGUAUCAGGUCAUUCAUUUCAUAUACAAGGUGGAAAAGUGUUGAUGGUUUAGAACAUGCCACUAAAUAUAUGUAAUAGGAAUAAUUAUCGCAUGACCUUCAACCUUUAUAUGUUGCUUCUUUAAAUUUUAUGUUUCUAUCAACCUGGUUUUUCUCUACCAUAAGUUACUGAUCUUGUUUCUUUGUUGUUGUAGAUUGCCAAGAAAAAUAGAUGAUGCAUGGCACAUGCUGAUUGCGAGGUCAAGAAUUGGGCUUCUACUAGAUAGUUUAGCAUUAUGUUUUAGAACAUCACUUUCAUGGUCACAUUAUGUUCUACAAUGGCUGAAACAUUGAUUGCAUGGUCAAUAAUUGGGCUACUACUAGAUAGUUUCACAAGCUGUAAUCUUUGGAUUAUGUUCUUUGUAAUGCCAAAUGCAACAGAGUUAAUUUUAUAUAUGAGAUCUUUAUGUUUAUUA